rnacentral:rRNA from 1 species
UACGUAGGGCGCAAGCGUUGUCCGGAAUGAUUGGGCGUAAAGCGUCUGUAGGUGGCUUUUUAAGUCCGCCGUCAAAUCCCAGGGCUCAACUCUGGACAGGCGGUGGAAACUACCAAGCUGGAGUACGGUAGGGGCAGAGGGAAUUUCCGGUGGAGCGGUGAAAUGCGUAGAGAUGCGGAGGAACACCGAUGGCGAAGGCAGCCCCCUGGGCUAACACUGACGCUCAGGCACGAAAGCGUGGGGAGCAAACAGG